GUUGAUGUAGCUUAAAUACCAAAGCGAGGCACUGAAAAUGCCUAUAUGGGUGAGUUAACCCCAUGAACA
rnacentral:tRNA from 5 species